rnacentral:rRNA from 1 species
UCCGAGUUCCGGUUAUCGAAUUUAGGAACCGGCCAGUGUUACGUACGAAUAGCCCUCACCGUUACUGUCCGAACGUCCGAGGAUUCAUGGCGAUCGGUACGUAAGCUUAAAUCCGAGAACUCGAUGAGCAGCACAAGCUAUGACGUAAGCUGAGUCGGUUCGGACAAGAUAGAUACUGUAGUCCCCACGUACGAUGGAUGCCCCUUUGCGAAUAUACUGUGAGCGGCCAAGGAAAUCGUUAAGCCAUCCCACCUUGGGGAAGUACCCGCACCGGUGAAACUCCAAAGAAUUGACCGGGGCCCGCCCCAAGCGGAGGAACAUGUGGUUUAAUCGAUGAUACCGCGAGAACCUACCCGGGCUUGAACUGCAGGCGAACGAUACCAGAGAUGUUGAGCCCUUCGGGCCCCCUGUGAGUGCUGCAUGUGUCGUCAGCUCCGUGCCGUGAGUGUCGGCUUAAGUGCCAUAACCGAGCCCCAACCCUUUUCAUUAGUUGCCCAUCAGGUAAUGCUGGGCACUCUGGUGAUACUGCCACCGUAAGGUGUGAGGAAGGUGGGGAUGACGUCAAAUCAGCACGGCCCUUUACGUCCGGGGCUACACACGUGUUACAAUGGGAGGUACAGAGAGUCGGUGCAUGGCAAUAUGCAUCUAAUCCUUAAAGCCUUCCUCAGUUCGGAUUGGGGUCUGCAACCCGACCCCAUGAAGCUGGAUUCGCUAGUAAUCGCGCAUCAGCCAUGGCGCGGUGAAUACGUUCCCGGGGCGUGGUACACACCGCCCGUCAAGCCAUGAAAGCCGGGGGCGCUUGAAGUCCGUGACCGCAAGGAUCGGCCUAGAGCGAAACUGGUAAUAAGGCU